rnacentral:rRNA from 1 species
AAUGAACGCUGGCGGCAGGCCUAAAACAUGCAAGUCGAACGCUCUAGCAAUAGAGAGUGGCGCACGGGUGAGUAACACGUGGGAAUAUGCCUUUUGGUACGGAACAACGUCUGGAAGCGGACGCUAAUACCGUAUGGUCCCUCCGGGGUAAAGAUUUAUCGCCAAAAGAUUAGCCCGCGUCUGAUUAGCUAGUUGGUGAGGUAAUGGCUCACCAAGGCGACGAUCAGUAGCUGGUCUGAGAGGACGAUCAGCCACACUGGGACUGAGACACGGCCCAGACUCCUACGGGAGGCAGCAGUUAGGAAUAUUGGACAAUGGGCGCAAGCCUGAUCCAGCCAUGCCGCGUGAGUGAUGAAGGCCUUCGGGUUGUAAAGCUCUUUAGUCCACGAAUAUAAUGACUGUAGUGGAAGAAUAAGCCCCGGCUAACUUCGUGCCAGCCGCCGCUGUAACAC